GUGGGGAAUAUUGGACAAUGGGCGCAAGCCUGAUCCAGCCAUGCCGCGUGAGUGAUGAAGGCCCUAGGGUUGUAAAGCUCUUUCACCGAUGAAGAUAAUGACGGUAGUCGGAGAAGAAGCCCCGGCUAACUUCGUGCCAGCAGCCGCGGUAAUACGAAGGGGGCUAGCGUUGUUCGGAAUUACUGGGAGUAAAGCGCACGUAGGCGGAUAUUUAAGUCAGGGGUGAAAUCCCAGAGCUCAACUCUGGAACUGCCUUUGAUACUGGGUAUCUCGAGUAUGGAAGAGGUGAGUGGAAUUCCGAGUGUAGAGGUGAAAUUCGUAGAUAUUCGGAGGAACACCAGUGGCGAAGGCGGCUCACUGGUCCAUUACUGACGCUGAGGUGCGAAAGCGUGGGGAGCAAACAGGAUUAGAUACCCGUGUAGUCC
rnacentral:rRNA from 1 species